UGGGGAAUUUUGGACAAUGGGCGCAAGCCUGAUCCAGCCAUGCCGCGUGUCUGAAGAAGGCCUUCGGGUUGUAAAGGACUUUUGUCAGGGAAGAAAAGGCUGUUGCUAAUAUCAAUAGCUGAUGACGGUACCUGAAGAAUAAGCACCGGCUAACUACGUGCCAGCAGCCGCGGCAAUACGUAGGGUGCGAGCGUUAAUCGGAAUUACUGGGCGUAAAGCGAGCGCAGACGGUUACUUAAGCAGGAUGUGAAAUCCCCGGGCUCAACCUGGGAACUGCGUUCUGAACUGGGUGACUAGAGUGUGUCAGAGGGAGGUAGAAUUCCACGUGUAGCAGUGAAAUGCGUAGAGAUGUGGAGGAAUACCGAUGGCGAAGGCAGCCUCCUGGGAUAACACUGACGUUCAUGCUCGAAAGCGUGGGUAGCAAACAGGAUUAGAUACCCUGGUAGUCCACGCCCUAAACGAUGUCAAUUAGCUGUUGGGCAACUUGAUUGCUUAGUAGCGUAGCUAACGCGUGAAAUUGACCGCCUGGGGAGUACGGUCGCAAGAUUA
rnacentral:rRNA from 1 species